rnacentral:lncRNA from 1 species
UGAGGGAAGCGGGGCUGAAGAGGGAGGGCCAGGAUGGCAGCAGCAACAAGUAGCCGAGGCCCAAGAGGCAGUAAGCAAUGAGGGAAGCGGGGCUGAAGAGGGAGGUAGUAUGACGGGGAUAUUAAUGUACA